rnacentral:lncRNA from 1 species
UUUCAAAAUUUCUUUUAUAAAGCCCAUGUUUUUGUACUGGAGAUGUAGAGAAUCAUCAGGAAGGCCUCGAGAUUCAAUCUGAAGAUUCCACAUCAAGGAGAAAUGGCCAUACUCCUAUUUUUAGGUGUACAAGCCAGUGUUUCGUCAGAGAUGGUGAUAGUCACAAGGACAGAAAAGCCCAGGAUGGAUGACACACAAGACUCACACUUUCCCAGAGAACCUUCUGCUGGCCUCCUCCCAAGUCAUGUCCCUUAGGAUCUCUCCAUCCUUCAUGACUUUUUGAUGCUGACUGCUUUAAGACUGUUCUUUAAAUAUCUAUGGAUUUCAUCAUACAUCACUCAUGUAAGUAUAUCUA